AUGCGAGUCAUUGUAGCAAUACAAGGCAGACGGCUCAGUAACGCGUAGUCAACCUAACCUAUGGACGGGAAUAACCUCGGGAAACUGAGAAUAAUGCCCGAUAGAACACUAUACCUGGAAUGGUUUGUGUUCCAAAUGAUUUAUCGCCGUAGGAUGGGACUGCGGCCUAUCAGUUUGUUGGUGAGGUAAUGGCCCACCAAGACUAUUACAGGUACGGGCUCUGAGAGGAGUAGCCCGGAGAUGGGUACUGAGACACGGGCCCAGGCCCUAUGGGGCGCAGCAGGCGAGAAAACUUUGCAAUGUGCGAAAGCACGACAAGGUUAAUCCGAGUGAUUUGUGCUAAACGAAUCUUUUGUUAGUCCUAGAACCACUAACGAAUAAGGGGUGGGCAAGUUCUGGUGUCAGCCGCCGCGGUAAAACCAGCACCUCAAGUGGUCAGGAUGAUUAUUGGGCCUAAAGCAUCCGUAGCCGGCUCUGUAAGUUUUCGGUUAAAUCUGUACGCUUAACGUACAGGCUGCCGGGAAUACUGCAGAGCUAGGGAGUGGGAGAGGUAGACGGUACUCGGUAGGAAGGGGUAAAAUCCUUUGAUCUAUUGAUGACCACCUGUGGCGAAGGCGGUCUACCAGAACACGUCCGACGGUGAGGGAUGAAAGCUGGGGGAGCAAACCGGAUUAGAUACCCGGGUAGUCCCAGCUGUAAACUAUGCAAACUCAGUGAUGCAUUGACUUGUGGUCAAUGCAGUGCUGCAGGGAAGCCGUUAAGUUUGCCGCCUGGGAAGUACGUACGCAAGUAUGAAACUUAAAGGAAUUGGCGGGGGAGCACCACAAGGGGUGAAGCCUGCGGUUCAAUUGGAUUCAACGCCGGAA
rnacentral:rRNA from 1 species